GUGAGUAAUGCCUAGGAAAUUGCCUUGAUGUGGGGGAUAACCAUUGGAAACGAUGGCUAAUACCGCAUAAUGCCUACGGGCCAAAGAGGGGGAUCUUCGGACCUCUCGCGUCAAGAUAUGCCUAGGUGGGAUUAGCUAGUUGGUGAGGUAAUGGCUCACCAAGGCGACGAUCCCUAGCUGGUCUGAGAGGAUGAUCAGCCACACUGGAACUGAGACACGGUCCAGACUCCUACGGGAGGCAGCAGUGGGGAAUAUUGCACAAUGGGCGAAAGCCUGAUGCAGCCAUGCCGCGUGUAUGAAGAAGGCCUUCGGGUUGUAAAGUACUUUCAGUUGUGAGGAAGGGUGU
rnacentral:rRNA from 1 species